GGCUAACGCUGGCGGCGUGUCUUAGCCAUGCAAGUCGAGCGGACUUAUGGGGUAACUUAUAAGUCAGCGGCGGACGGCGGAGUAACACGUAGCUAACCUACCCUCUGGACGGGGAUAACCUACCGAAAGGUGGGCUAAUACCCGAUGUAGUCAUCCUGUAUAGGGGUGAUGAAAGGUGGGCUUCUGUUUACAAGCUCAUGCUGGAGGAGGGGGCUGCGGCCUAUCAGGUAGUUGGUAGGGUAAUAGCCUACCAAGCCGAUGACGGGUAGCCGGCCUGAGAGGGUGACCGGCCACACUGGGACUGAGACACGGCCCAGACUCCUACGGGAGGCAGCAGUGGGGAAUAUUGGACAAUGGGCGAAAGCCUGAUCCAGCAACGCCGCGUGAGGGAUGACGGCCUUCGGGUUGUAAACCUCUUUCAGUAGGGACGAAGCGAAAGUGACGGUACCUACAGAAGAAGGACCGGCUAACUCCGUG
rnacentral:rRNA from 1 species